rnacentral:ribozyme from 1 species
GUGAGAUCGAAAAAAUAAAUCAUAUAUUGGUGUUUUGCUUGUAUGCACGAAAAAAAGCAUUUUUCCUCGUAUUUUUUUUGUUCCU